ACUGUGUUCCGAAGAUGAACGGAGGUCUCACGGGUUUGGAACAACAUGAGGGUGAGUCAUUAAUGACAUAAUUUUGAUAUUUGGGUGAACUAUCCCUUUAAGAGUCUCCUGGUCUUUGCUUCAAGAGUUUCCCACAGCUAUAACCGGAUAUUGACAACAUAUUAAAAUAUUAAAACAGAAAAACCCCUGGUGAAGCUGAGAUCCUUGUGACACUCUAUUAUAAAGAUGGCAUUUAUUAAAGUGGAGAGUGAAGACGUGAAGAUUGAAGAAGCAUUCAGAGUGAAACAAGAGGAUAAUGGGGAACAAACAGAUGGUUAGUGCACAUGAAAGCUAUAAUAACAGUACUGAAUAAAAUGCAGAGCAUCAGAAGCCGUUUACAAACAAAAAUAUCACUGUACUUACAUAUUAACAUGCCUUCUCCAUGUCUCUUUAGAUAAAAGCUCAAUAAGAACUACAAUCAGCAAAAGAACAUUCAUCGUUCCAAAAGGUCUUCAGGUCUGCUUCCUCACAGACUCAGUGUGUUGGGAUAUUGAGCACUAUUUUCCAAACGCACAAUGUUGGAUUCAUCCAAACACGACUCUUGUGAGAUCCGUUCAACAACACGUGAAACACUUUGAGAAACUGCACAACUACACAAUAGUGAUUCUCCACAUAGGAACAAACGACAUCACAAGCGGAGCGUCUGCAUCGACUAUCGUCCAGAGAAUGAAAAGUCUCAUAUCAAGAAUCUCACAAGUUAAUUCACACAUCCUGUAUUUCGCAAUCAGCGCUAUUUUACCACGAGCAAAAGACGACUCUACAGUCAAAACUACAAUCAAACAAUGCAACAGCUUGCUUCAACACUGGUCUUCACAAACAAGAAACAUUCUAUUUCUGAACACUACAAAACCAUUUCUCAAAAACGGAAAAGUAAUCCAAAACCUAUAUGAACAUGAUGGACUUCACCUGAACCAAGAAGGAAAACACAAACUGUUUUCAUACUUUCAGCGUUUCCUCUGGAAUUUUUGCCGGUUUUCAUCCCGUGCAAGACGUACUUAAACAUCUCACAUCAGUGUCUAACACAAACUUGACUUUGUUCAAUACAUCUGUGAAGCAAUAAACUAUAAGCUCACACUUCUUUCUGAACUUCAUCAAAACAAGACCUAAAAAAAUAACUUGCCAUAUUACUCGUAAACAACUGACUCAAAAAUUAAAUGUCUUUGAAGUACCUGUCAAAUGAAGUAAUACAGAAAGCACAAUAUGGCUUAGCAACCUUCUUAAAUUGUGAAAAGUCUGUGAUUUUAUAGGUCUGUGUAUCACCAAGAAUCUGGCGGAUAUGAUUCAUACUGUAUGACAAUAAAGAUGUUAGGAGACAUAUAUUGCAAUACUAUUAAGAUGACAUUGUAUUUGGCUAUUAAAGAUCAAAAUGUAAGAUAUAAACAAUACAGAAAAAAAUGUUAAGGAAAAAGCUAAAUUUGGUGCAAUUUAGUUUUACAAACUAUACAAUAUUUAUGAAAAAUGUUUUAAAAAGAACCAAGGUUGAUAAAGUGCUGUCCAAGAUAAAAAAGACUAAGAACUACCAGUAAUAAAGAACAAACAAUAAUAGUACAAACCAAUGGUCAAUGAGUAUUAAAAGCAAGAGAUAAUAAGUAUGCAGACUUAAAAAUGAAAAUAGAGGGACCUAUUCUGAUAUGGAGAGGAAGGCUGUUCCAAAGUUUCAGGCCACCGAUCACAAGAUCUCAGAGUUCUGGAAAGAGUGUACAGAUGGAUGAGUUUUGUCAGAUACUGAGGGAUACAAAAUUUUGAGGGCUUUAUAAACAAAAUAGAAUUUUAAAAUGUAUUCUUCAUUUGACAGGGAGCUCUGGUUUCCUUUCUGCCACAAAAAUAAUACACAUUAAUGCCAUAUAAAAGUUAUGCAUAAACUGACAUCAAUGGCUGCUUAUUACUUAAGGAGAAAAUAAUUUUGCAUCUUGUAAUAUCUUGGAAUUAAUAAUCUUGGAUGGAUGGAAAACAU
rnacentral:lncRNA from 1 species